AGCUAGAUGGAACUGACAGACCGCGUGCCAGAUAGGCAGAUAAUAUUUUGCCAGACUCGAGCAUCAUCAUACAGCCAGACACUACUGGCACUACUAGCAGCAUCCUCCCUGCAUGGCAGGCUGGUCCAGGCUGACCAAGGCUUCUUCCUACGGGGUGACGACACAACUGUGCGCCAUUGCUCUGGCCUGACAGUGAGUGAAUGGGACAAAGGGUGUGUGAGAGGAAGGAGACUAAGAGAGAGAGUUGCUCUGUUACAGCAGCAGCAGGGUGAGAAGAGGUGAGGCGGGGUGAGACAGCCCUCUCGUGACAAGCGCUACUCUCCCUCUCCGCUAGCUGUAGCUCUCCCUCUGUCUCUGUCCGGCCCCGGCCCUCAGCCAUUUUGGAAAGGGGAGAGAAAAGUGGCUGCUUUCUCUCUCUCUCUCUCUCUCUAUGUCUCUCACUACGUGGCGUAGAUUGGAAAGGCUGGGGCUGAGGCGAGGGCUGCUCUGUUAUGGAGAGGGCGGAGGAGAGGUGAGGAGACUCACUAGGCAGCUGGCUCGCUCGCGUUUGGGGAGAGAUGGAAGACAUGUUUGCAGAGAAAAGUCUGAUGCGAAAAGCAGUCCUUUUUAGUACUCACUUUUCCUUCGAAUUUUCUGUUUUUUUUCUCUCCUCAAUCUUCUGUUAAGCUUCUAUUAUUUUUGAUCUUGUACUUUCUCACACUCGCUUUUUCUCUCUCUGUCUCUCUUUCUUUGCCCCCUCUUUUCCUCUUUAACUUUCGCUCUGCUUUGAACAUUUCAGGGUCAAUUUUUCCCUGCCUGUUCGAGGCGAUAUCUUUUUGUCAUCCCCUUGUUCGAUUCAAAUCAGGGGAGUUUAAAACAAAAGGAAACGUCCAACGUUUUGGCAUAGCUAAGGAGAGUCAGAAACGCAGCCAAGGACCCUGCUGGGAUAAAAAAAAAAAAAACAGGCAGAGUGAAGCAGCGCCAAAAAAAAAAGAAAACACCACCCUUUCCUUUGCAUGGUCACAAAUUCCACUUUCUCUGUAGCCAGCCCUGAGCAGCUACAACAGCUCCUCCUCGACCACAUCUCACCGUCUGCAUUCAACCUUACGCCGUCUCUAGCUCGCCGUAGAUUUUUUCUAACUCCAUCUUGGGGGUGUGGGUUAUGUACCCCUGUUACUGAGGAUAGGACAGCGGGACAGGAGGGUGAAAGAAGGAAGAAAGAAAGAGGGGGACAGUAUCUUUGCUUCAAUUUCAGCUGGUCCCUGCUGUAUUUUCACUGAAAGAGUCGGCCUACUCUGUCCACCAAGCCUGACUCCAUUUUGAUGCCAGACGAAGAGACGAGGACUGACCAGCCCUUUGGUUCCCACACCAUGUUGGCUCCAGCCCACACCAUUGGCUACCCACUACCACACCACGUGUCCGUCACCGGCUGCGGGCAGCCUUUGCUUCCGGGUAUGCUGGAAUAAAGACCCUAGCUACGGCAAUCGUGCUGGCUUUGUAGUGCCUGUCCAGAAUUGCGCGUUCAUGUGUAUGGGCGGAUUGGAAGACACCAUGUCAGUAGUGGUGGGGUUAUAUAAAUGUGUUAUAUAUUGUGCUAUAUUCAAUUAUGCUAAACCUAUUGCAAAGGUACAAUGAAGAUAAUUCAUAAAAUGUUUAGCUGAGUGGAAAAUGUACGCUUUGAUGUUUGUAAUGGCUUGAUUUGUAUGUUUGGUAUGUUCUUAAGGGAGGGGCUUCCCCCUACAAAAGGAGACUCUCAAUUCAAGAGGGCCUUUUCAUUGAGCUGUUAAUGGGACUGCACUGCUGUCCCCAUAAUGUAUACUUUUGUGGCAGUACUGGUUUCUUUCGGAAUCAUCAUGUAAAUGAACGCCCUUGCACAGAAGUGCUUAUGCAGGUCCGCCAUCAUUUUAUUUGGUACAUUUUAAGUUUAAUUUAAUGUAGGAUUAAGUUGCAGUUAAGGUUUUUCAGUUUAGCCUUCUGGCCUACUCUAUGUGACAGUGCUUGGGACUAUAAGAUUCUAUCAGCAUUUGUCAACAUUUCACAUCAAAUCAAAGUUUGUCACAUGUGCCAAAUACAAAUACAGGUGUAGACCUUACAGUGAAAUUCUUACUUACAGGCCCUAACCAACAGUGCAAUUUUUAAGUAAAAAAUAGGUAUCAAGUGAACAAUAGAUAAGUAAGGAAAUAGAAAUCAACAGUAAAAAGACAGUGAAUAAUAACAGUGGCGAGGCUAUAACAGUAGCGAGGCUAUAGUCGGGCUAAUUGAGGUAGUAUGUACAUGUAGGUAUGGUUAAAGUGACUAUGCAUAUAUGAUAAACAGAGAGUAGCAGUGGCGUAAAAGAGGGUAUUUUUUUUAUUUUAUUUUUUAUUUAUUUUUUAAGUCAUUUUAGCAGACGCUCUUAUCCAGAGCGACUUACAGUAGUGAAUGCAUACAUUUCAUACAUUUUUUUAAAAAAUUUCUGUGCUGGCCCCCCGUGGGAAUCGAACCCACAACCCUGGCAUUGCAAACACCAUGCUCUACCAACUGAGCUACAGGGAAGGCUAGGGGGGUUGGGGGGUUGGUAGGUAGUCCGGGUAGCCAAUGUGCGAGGGCACCGGUUAGUCGGGCUAAUUGAGGUAGUAUGUACAUGAAUGUACAGUAUAGUUAAAGUGACUAUGCAUAUAUGGUAAACAGAGAGUAACAGCACUGUAAAUGUUGUGCUCUAUUCAAUGUUCUCUACCUAUAUAGUACUCGAAAUACCCACAUUCGGGUUGUUAAGUUCAAAACAAUACAUGAUAAAAAAUUGCUGACACCAUUCAAACCAAUGAGGGUUUGGAAAUUUAAAGUAAAUUAUCUCAGAAUCAUAUUUUUGCAGAUAGAACCUUACAGUCCCAAGCUUUUGUGGCCACAGUGUGAAUUGAAUGUGCAAUCCUGGAAUUGCUAGGAUAACGUUCUUAUCAACUGACUCACACAGGACCACAGACAGACCUCCAAACUCACUCAACUCACUGAAUAAUGUAAACUGUACAUUAAAAAAUCUUUAUAAUGAAUAUGAACACUACCAUCAUUUCUGAAGGCUUAACCUACCAUUCCCCAUUUGCCUUGUUGAGCAGAAAGCGACCAAUAUUUAGUUCUGUAAUCUCUACCACUACACCAACUUUUUUCUAUAAUGAGCUGAGGUUUAUUACAAAAUGCAGGAACGUUCAACAAGUUCAGUCUAUAUUUGUUGGGAUUCCAAUUUGGAUGGUUAUAGGUUUACUCUUCAGAUGCCAUAAUAUGUUAGUGUCAUCUAUCUAACAAUAGCUCUGUUAUCUCCUGAGUGGGAAUGUGACUCUUCUAGACAUGUCUUUACUGUGAGUUCAGUGACACAUACUGGAGUGCAAUUUUAAGUAGGUGAGGGGUUAAUUUUCACUAAGCAAUAUCUCUGUUUGAUGCCACAUUUGAUACAUUCUUGCCAUCAGUCAAUUGGCUUGCACUGUGUAAACAUAAGCACCUUGUGAUACACUGACACCAAGGUUGAUACUGCAUUGCUAAACAAAUGCAGACCACAGACCAGAGCGACAUUUUAAAAAUCCAUCGGACAGCUCUGAAUCUCACAGUUCGGUUUCGUACUCCAUUAGCUUGGACUGGCCUUGUUAGGCUUGUCUGGUCCACCCAACCCAAUAACUUUACAGAGAUAGAUAGCAGACUCAUCUAUAUAUUUCUGCCAUUAUAGCAUUUGUGACAGCCUGGGCAGCGCCAUUGAUACUACAACCCAUAGGAAUCCCCAUCCAGCUGACUACUUUGACUACUUUAACAUGGCGGAGGCAUGGUGGAAUCCCUCAAUGGCUCUGCCCAUGCAAAAAUGGCCUUUUGGCCACUAGAGGCCUCUCUCAUUCUCUAUGGUCUCCCUCCCAUUUCCCUGGGCAGCAGGCAGCCAGGCCAAAGUGAACCAGCGGACGCCCCAUGUUGGUUCGAGGUGGUAGUGGUAUGAAGUGGUGUGUGCCGGGGUGGAUUGGGGAGUGGUGUGACGAUGAGAGAGGGUUUCCGCUCUAACUCUUUGUUCUCUGUCCCAAGGCCACCGGUUGAGGUGGGGGGGUAAGGGUUGGGGGAGGGGGAGACUGAGGGGAGAGGUGAAAAGUUCACAGCUCCUAGACGGGGGAGGGGAAGGGGGGUGUACAAUGAGGGGGAGGUAGGAAUGUACAUUAACCCCGCUGACUUACUCUGUCACAAUUUACGAUCGUCUCCCUCUGUGCUCAAAAAACAGGAGGGAAUAUAACAACAUAUUUUGUCAGUGAGUGUGCGUGUGUGUCUCUUAUUGUGUGUGUGUGUGCUUGUUAGUGUUUGCGUUUUUCCCUGUCUCUCACGCUCUCACUUACCCUUUCUGGGUGUUAGUAAAUGGCUGUCAAUAUACUGUGGCUGCUGUGGUGUGGAGCGUCUAAUAUUAGCUGGCUGUGUGUGUGUGCUUGUGCGGGCUGAUGGAUGAGAGUGGCUCAAGGUGACAGUGAUAAGGGGUGGUUAGAGAAAGAAAAAUACAGGGAUUCUCUCUCUGCAAUACAAAGAUGAUUUGAGCACCAGACCAACUGUGGACUCCUGCAGCUGCAUGUGAUGUGAUGAUGAGCACACAGAGCAUGUGAUGUCUGUCUGUGACACAGUGAAGGAUUGGCUUAGUAUGGAAACACAUAGGAAUGGACUGAUUGCUUAGUAUGAAAGCACAUAGAAAUUGUUAUCUCUAAGGGUGGACACAGCUAGGCUCUACCUAAUGAAUCUGCAAGAGAAUGUGAGAUAAAGUGAGUAUGUUAUGAGAAAAAAAAGUAUUUACCUAUCACCUCAUGUCUAGGCUAGACACUAUCAUGUUAUACUAUGCUAUAACUGUUUCCAUUAUUAGCUUUUUGUUAUGGAUAUUGAUAUAUUCAAUGGAAAAUAAGAGAAGUAACAAGGUAGCGUGAGAGAGAGAGAGAAUGUGGACAUUGAUUCUGCUGUCAUUGAUUUGUGCCCUCUGCAUGUCGUCCCUCAGCAGUCCCUGUCGCUGCAUUUCUCUCUUUCCUCUCUCCGUCUCUCUCUUU
rnacentral:lncRNA from 1 species